ACAAACAGUUGACAUAAUACCUAAGCAUAGUUUGAUAUCCUAAUGGUAACACGAAAUUAUUUACCUUUUUUUAAACUGUAUCUCAAGUCUCAUCCUUCAUCUGUUAAUGUUAUCUUUCACUAGAAUAUUUUACGUUAUAAAACAAAAGUAGAAAAAGUUCUUUCUCUGAGGAAAAUGAGUGAAAUAUCGGGCUGGCUUUGUCACUGUACACGUGGCUUCUUAUUCUUACGUGUUGGCGGGAUUCUUUUAUCGUUAAGUGGGAAUAAAAUGCGUUUAAUAUUAGAUAAUUUGCAUUUGACUAAAGUAAUUUGUGAAAUAAAUUAUGGAAAAAGGGUA